rnacentral:rRNA from 1 species
GUUCGUACAGAUCGUCAUUUGUCUCAUGCAGUCGAGCGGAAACGAUGGUAGCUUGCUAUCAGGCGUCGAGCGGCGGACGGGUGAGUAAUACUUAGGAAUCUACCUAGUAGUGGGGGAUAGCUCGGGGAAACUCGAAUUAAUACCGCAUACGACCUACGGGAGAAAGGGGGCAGUUUACUGCUCUCGCUAUUAGAUGAGCCUAAGUCGGAUUAGCUAGAUGGUGGGGUAAAGGCCUACCAUGGCGACGAUCUGUAGCUGGUCUGAGAGGAUGAUCAGCCACACCGGGACUGAGACACGGCCCGGACUCCUACGGGAGGCAGCAGUGGGGAAUAUUGGACAAUGGGGGAAACCCUGAUCCAGCCAUGCCGCGUGUGUGAAGAAGGCCUUUUGGUUGUAAAGCACUUUAAGCAGUGAAGAAGACUCUUCGGUUAAUACCCGGAGACGAUGACAUUAGCUGCAGAAUAAGCACCGGCUAACUCUGUGCCAGCAGCCGCGGUAAUACAGAGGGUGCAAGCGUUAAUCGGAAUUACUGGGCGUAAAGCGAGCGUAGGUGGCUUGAUAAGUCAGAUGUGAAAUCCCCGGGCUUAACCUGGGAACUGCAUCUGAAACUGUUAGGCUAGAGUAGGUGAGAGGGAAGUAGAAUUUCAGGUGUAGCGGUGAAAU